rnacentral:rRNA from 1 species
GAUAAACGCUGGCGGCGUGCUUAACACAUGCAAGUCGAACGAAGUUUUUCCUUCGGGAGAAACUUAGUGGCGGACGGGUGAGUAACGCGUGGGUAACCUGCCCUGUACAGGGGGACAACAGCUGUAAACGGCUGCUAAUACCGCAUAAGCCCUUAGCACUGCAUGGUGCAUAGGGAAAAGGAGCAAUCCGGUACAGGAUGGACCCGCGUCUGAUUAGCCAGUUGGCAGGGUAACGGCCUACCAAAGCGACGAUCAGUAGCCGAUCUGAGAGGAUGUACGGCCACAUUGGGACUGAGACACGGCCCAGACUCCUACGAGAGGCAGCAGUGGGGAAUAUUGCACAAUGGAGGAAACUCUGAUGCAGCGACGCCGCGUGAGUGAAGAAGUAUUUCGGUAUGUAAAGCUCUAUCAGCAGGGAAGAAAAUGACGGUACCUGACUAAGAAGCACCGGCUAAAUACGUG